GCCGGGCGCGGUGGCUCACGCCUGUAACCCCAGCACUUUGGGAGGCAGAGGCGGGUGGAUCACCUGAGGUCAGGAGGUAGAGACCAGCCUGACCAACAUGGUGAAACCCCGUCUCUU
rnacentral:SRP_RNA from 1 species